UACGUAGGGUGCGAGCGUUGUCCGGAAUUACUGGGCGUAAAGAGCUCGUAGGUGGUUUGUCGCGUUGUUCGUGAAAUUCCCUGGCUUAACUGGGGGCGUGCGGGCGAUACGGGCAGACUGGAGUACUGCAGGGGGAGACUGGAAUUCCUGGUGUAGCGGUGGAAUGCGCAGAUAUCAGGAGGAACACCGGUGGCGAAGGCGGGUCUCUGGGGCCGUAAACUGGACGCUUGAGGAGCGAAAAGCGUGGGGGAGCGAACAGG
rnacentral:rRNA from 1 species